GAGAGAAUACUGCAAAUUAGUCGCCUUUUGGCAAAAUUUACCAUUUUGGAAUCAAAAUAGGCCAUUGACGUGAAGCGAAGGAGUUGUGAAGGUGAAGUGGCACGGAUGACUGUAAAAAAUUUUGAAGAUCGUGACAUGUCCCAACUAAACGAUGACAUAAGCACUGGGCUUACAGAAGUUGAGAAGAGACUUUGCAAACAAUUCGCCAGAGUGGAACUGAGGGGGAAAAAAGGACGAAAGUGAUGGUCACUACAGAGGGCAGUUUGGUCAAUUUGCAAAUGCUUGUGGAGCCGAAGAUCCUCAAAACCUCAGAUCAACUAACCUUCGCAAAAAGAUUGCCACAAUAAGCCAAGUCAUGAACUUGAAAGAUAAUGAACUGGACCAGCUGGCCGAUUUUCUCGGCCAUGA
ensembl:lncRNA